rnacentral:rRNA from 1 species
GACAGAGGGUGCAAACGUUUGUUCGGAAUUACUGGGCGUAAAGCGCGCGUAGGCGGCCAUGCAAGUCGGGCGUGAAAUCCCUCAGCUUAACUGGGGAACUGCGUCUGAUACUGGAUGGCUUGGAUUCGGGAGAGGAAUGCGGAAUUCCAGGUGUAGCGGUGAAAUGCGUAGAUAUCUGGAGGAACACCGGUGGCGAAGGCAGCUCGCUGGGACGUGACUGACGCUGAGACGCGAAAGCGUGGGGAGCAAACAGG